rnacentral:rRNA from 1 species
UCCGUAGGUGAACCUGCGGAAGGAUCAUUAAAGAUUCUAAGGCUUCGGUCUUAAUUUCGGCUGUGCGCUCAGGCUGCACGCCGWUAACCUCUCACACCUGUGCACCUUUUCGGUUGCGGUUUCGGCCGCUUCCGCUUUUACAUGCAACCACGAAAAGUCUAGAAUGUGACGAGAACUAUAAAGUAACAACUUUCAACAACGGAUCUCUUGGCUCUCGCAUCGAUGAAGAACGCAGCGAAAUGCGAUAAGUAAUGUGAAUUGCAGAAUUCAGUGAAUCAUCGAAUCUUUGAACGCACCUUGCGCUCCUUGGUAUUCCAUGGAGCAUGCCUGUUUGAGUGUCACGUAAACCCUCACCCCUGCGAUGUAACAGUCGCCUGCGGUGGACUUGGACCGUGCCGGUAAUCGGCUCGUCUUGAAAUGCAUUARCUGGYGCUUUUAGAGUGCUGGGCGAACGGUGUGAUAAUUAUCUGCGCCGACUGCCCUGGGCCUCUUCAGCGGCGCUGCUUACAGCCGUCCCUUGUGGACAACUAUUUUAAAGCUUUGGCCUCAAAUGCAGGUAGGACUACCCGCUGAACUUAAGCAUAUCAAUAAGCGGAGGA